CUACCUGGUUGAUCCUGCCAGUAGUCAUA
rnacentral:rRNA from 2 species